rnacentral:lncRNA from 1 species
GAUACUGUCAUAUACUCUCAGGGGUACUCUUGGCCAGGAAUAUCACUGAUCCAAGCACUCCCAGUGUAGCAGCAGUUCUCAGAGGUUCACAAAAUGUAUGCAGACCACCGAGAAGACCAAUCCCUGAGGAAGGUAAACACUAUACCAUAUAAGUAUGACAACAAUAAAACCUCCAACAUUCUUAAUUAAUUAUUAUUAUUGCGCUCUUAGAAACGAUUUACACUUGUAGAUAGACGACUAAUUCUAAGAAUCCAGAUCUUACCUGGGUACUUAAAUUUCAAUAUCCACUGCCUGGCCACGGCAAGGUACAACGAUCUAUCCAAGUACCUAACAGAUGAACAAAAAAGGAGGGACUCUGAAAAAAGAAGAAGUGAAUCUAAGCUAGAAAGCAUCUACGUCAGCGAACCUCAGCAGAAUGUCAAAGAAGUCGUCAUGGUAAUCACUUUUCACUUUAGGAAUUUAAAAUGUGAAACAUAGGCUUUUAAUUGAUUGUUUUUAUAUCUAUGAUUUAGGAGAUCAAAAACCUACCCUUCCGGAAGAGGGUAGGUUUUUUUACUUUGGGCGGAAAAAAUUCUCGCUUACAGUGGUGAAUUUUUUUGAAUAAUAAUUGACUAAUUUCGGU